rnacentral:rRNA from 1 species
AUUGAACGCUGGCGGCAGGCCUAACACAUGCAAGUCGAACGAGUGGCGGACGGGUGAGUAAUGUCUGGGCAACUGCCUGAUCGAGGGGGAUAACUUGUGGAAACGUUGGCAAAUACCGCCUACCAUCGGGUGUGCCCAGACGGGAGUAGCUAGGAGGUGGGGUAAAGGCUCACCUAGGCGACGCGCCCUAGCUGGUCUGAGAGGCUGACCAGCCACACUGGAACUGAGACACGGUCCAGACUCCUACGGGAGGCAGCAGUGGGGAAUAUUGCACAAUGGGCGCAAGCCUGAUGCAGCAAUGCCGCGUGUAUGAAGAAGGCCUUCGGGUUGUAAAGUACUUUCAGCGGGGAGGCGUUACCCGCAGAAGAAGCACCGGCUAACUCCGUGCCAGCAGCCGCGGUAAUUC